rnacentral:rRNA from 1 species
UGGGGAAUAUUGGACAAUGGGCGCAAGCCUGAUCCAGCCAUGCCGCGUGAGUGAUGAAGGCCCUAGGGUUGUAAAGCUCUUUCACCGGUGAAGAUAAUGACGGUAACCGGAGAAGAAGCCCCGGCUAACUUCGUGCCAGCAGCCGCGGUAAUACGAAGGGGGCUAGCGUUGUUCGGAUUUACUGGGCGUAAAGCGCACGUAGGCGGACUUUUAAGUCAGGGGUGAAAUCCCGGGGCUCAACCCCGGAACUGCCUUUGAUACUGGAAGUCUUGAGUAUGGUAGAGGUGAGUGGAAUUCCGAGUGUAGAGGUGAAAUUCGUAGAUAUUCGGAGGAACACCAGUGGCGAAGGCGGCUCACUGGACCAUUACUGACGCUGAGGUGCGAAAGCGUGGGGAGCAAAACAGGAUUAGAUACCCUGGUAGUCCACGCCGUAAACGAUGAAUGUUAGCCGUUGGGGAGUUUACUCUUCGGUGGCGCAGCUAACGCAUUAAACAUUCCGCCUGGGGAGUACGGUCGCAAGAUUAAAAACUCAAAAGGAAUUGAAC